rnacentral:lncRNA from 1 species
AAAUCCGGAGAUUAAUUGCAAUCUAAUUGCGCAGCGGAAAAAUAAAAUUUUGGAUUUCCUUUCCCAGAAUCCGAGUGCUCCGUUUAAAUCAUAAGAAAGAUGUGAGACUAACCUGUUAAUCUCGUAGUGAAGAUACACUGGCGGACUGAUGGUGCUGCCUUUUCAAACGAACACCCUCUAUGGUAUCCACACGAACGUCUUCUAUCCUUCUAGAGUGCUAGCUCUUUUCAAGAUGGAUAGAUUAUGUACUCUAUGUUCUACAAUCUUUUAGACUGAGUUUUCUCAAAACUUUUUCAACCACCUACUCAAUCUGUAGAAGGAGUAUUUAUAGGCCUCAGUCUUUUUAUUUUCCCACAACUCUUUUCCUAAAAGAGUUGUGCUUAGAACCCACUAUCACAAUCUCACAGAUACUCAAAUAUCUUUAUGUGAUAGANNNN